GGAUUUCAGCCCAGUGCCAGAGGAGCAGGGAGGGGCUGGGGAUGUUCGUGCUGAGAGCAAUGGCGAGGGCGACAAUGGCAGGAAGUUCACUAGCCCCGCUACCGGUUUGCAGCAGCUGCUGUCAGAGCUCCGUGGCGCGGAUCUGUUUCCGGUGCUGCCUGGGACUCGGCGCUGGGACCCACCCACGAGGCGGCAUGGAUUCCCUCUCAUCCAGAAAAACUACCAAAGAAGAUGGAGGCAGAACUGAGAAUCUGCUGCUGAUCAGAACCGACUUUGUUUUGAGGCCGUGUGUACCCACACUUGAACCGCUUCAGCUGAACUGGUGCAAGCGCGUGUGUGGACACUCUUAUUUCAGUUUAGCUUAAACCUCUUCCUAGAGGACUUGGAGCUAAAUCGCAAUCAGUCUGGUUAAAAUGGGAACACAUUCACACGCUUUUCACUGGCUGAGCAUCACGCCUUUAAACUAAACUGGUGCACAACUGAAUUUACAUGGAUCCUGAAUCGCAGAGAGUUGUAGGCAGUGAGAUUGAGCUGCUCAGAGUCCAGCAUGCCCCCCAGGGACUCCAAGGGAGAGGCGAGACGGAGGAGCACUUUAACUGCAGUGGAGAUGUGGAGAAAGGCCAGGCUUUGAAACAGGAGAGCAGUAGGCAGGCUCAGCUGUGUGCAUGUACCCGGGGCCCUGCUCUGUGUGAGUAACAAGCAGGUGUCAGGGGACAGCAGG